GUGUCAGCCGCCGCGGUAAUACGUAGGCAGCAAGCGUUGUUCGGAAUUACUGGGCGUAAAGGGUGCGUAGGUGGUUGGCCAAGUUUGGUGUGAAAUCUCCCGGCUUAACUGGGAGGGUGCGCCGAAAACUGGUCGGCUAGAGUGUGGGAUAGGGAAGCGGAAUUCCUGGUGUAGCGGUGAAAUGCGUAGAUAUCAGGAGGAACGCCUGCGGUGUAGACGGCUUCCUGGACCAUGACUGACACUGAAGCACGAAAGCGUGGGUAGCAAACAGGAUUAGAUACCCGUGUAGUCC
rnacentral:rRNA from 1 species